GCCUGGCUAGCUCAGUUGAUAGAGCAUCAGACUUUUAACCUGAGGGUCCAGGGUUCAAGUCCCUGUCCCUAGUCAGACA